UGGCUCAGUUGGUAGAGCAUAGUGUUUGCAACGCCAGGGUUGUGGGUUCGACUCCCAC
rnacentral:tRNA from 1 species